GACGAACGCUGGCGGCGUGCUUAACACAUGCAAGUCGAGCGGAAAGGCCCUUCGGGGUACUCGAGCGGCGAACGGGUGAGUAACACGUGAGCAACCUGCCCUAGGCUUUGGGGUAACCCCGGGAAACCGGGGCUAAUACCGAAUAGGACCCCUGGUCGCAUGACUGGGGGUGGAAAGUUUUUCGGCCUGGGAUGGGCUCGCGGCCUAUCAGCUUGUUGGUGGGGUGAUGGCCUACCAAGGCGACGACGGGUAGCCGGCCUGAGAGGGCGACCGGCCACACUGGGACUGAGACACGGCCCAGACUCCUACGGGAGGCAGCAGUGGGGAAUAUUGCACAAUGGGCGGAAGCCUGAUGCAGCGACGCCGCGUGAGGGAUGACGGCCUUCGGGUUGUAAACCUCUUUCAGCAGGGACGAAGCGUAAGUGACGGUACCUGCAGAAGAAGCGCCGGCCAACUACGUGCCAGCCGCCGCUGUAA
rnacentral:rRNA from 1 species